GGAGAGAUGCCAGAGCGGCUGAAUGGGCCGGUCUCGAAAACCGGUGUGGCUUCAUUGUCACCGAGGGUUCGAAUCCCUCUCUCUCCGCCA
rnacentral:tRNA from 1 species